UUACAAGUAAAGGCAACAGUAGUAUACCGCUGUUCGAAAUUCAUAAAUCGAUAGAGAAAAACAAAUCCGAGUUACAAACUAAAACUGAGGGAAACGCAUCAAAUAUAAGAGAACUACGACACAACAGAAAUACAACAUUAAAAUGUAACACACACAGAAACGAACUAUAAUAUAACAAUGGCCAUUUCCUGACUUGCUACAGG
rnacentral:lncRNA from 1 species